GCCUGGGUGGCUUAGUUGGGUGAGCGUCUGACUUUGGCUCAGGUCAUGAUCUCGUGGUCUGUGGGUUCGAGCCCCGCGUCAGGCU
rnacentral:tRNA from 1 species